GCGCCUAUAGCUCAAUGGAUAGAGCACCAGCCUGCGGAGCUGGGGAUACAAGUUCGAUUCCUGUUAGGCGCA
rnacentral:tRNA from 1 species